rnacentral:lncRNA from 1 species
CGUAAAACAAUAAUUAAAAACACGUUAAAGUUGAAAAUGGUUUAGAUUGGUCACCCCACUGGUUGCUUUAUUUACAGCUAAUGAAGUUUUUCAUGAACACAGAACCCGUCCAAUGGUACCUUUAUCCGAUAAUGGUGAUACAUUAACUGGACCCCUGCUGUUGUUUCAAUCUUAUCUACACAAACUGUGUCGAAGUAUCAAUCAGCGGGUGGCCAGUUAAGGUGAUAUACAGUAGUAUGAUUGCUAAUUAGACAAUUCUCCACCUAAACUAAAUGACAUUGAAGUUAACACGUAUCUGUCAACGUUACUAAUAUCAUGUUUUUUUAACUUCUCGGUACCAAACAUAGUACCUUCUUUUUUUUUUAAAUGUAUAUCAUCUUCUUUUAAUCUAUUCGUUUUGUUAUUUAUCGAAAUUUAUUUAUGUCAUAAAAUGAAUCAAGCAUAGCAAGAUCAGACUUUUGUAAAGGACUGCAAUUGAAACUUGCAAUUUGAAGAAGACAGAUUUUAAAAAAUUAUUAAGAAAGUUUUUAGAAUUGUAUAAAACAAUAUGUGAUUCAUGUCAUAUUUUCCGUAUAUUUUACACCCUACUUCAAUGUUUUCUUUACAGAGCUGUCGGAAAGGAAGCCAUUAGGAAUUGAGAACGAGGCUUUGUCAAAACCACAUGAACACCCACGCUUUACUUCAGUUCAUCAAUAAAGUUGGCAGUAAUACCAA